CAAUUAUUUUUGCUUAAUUACUGUUAGGUUAGCCAAAAAGUUCAAUCGGUUUUGGCAAUAUUUAUCAUUCCACAUUCUGGAAUGUAACUAGUUUCAGAUCUAUUUGGUCAAGUAAAUUACAAGAGCCUUCUAAAUUAGAAAUUCUAAUACGAGACAAACCGAAUAUUUCAUUUCCAUUAUACCCUGCACCUUUCAUCGCAGGUUGUAAUCGCUUCCGAAUCUCUCGUUCAGCAGCGUUGUUAAGAUUUGACAGUGCAAAACGACGCGGUAGUGAUCAGGAAUACUGGUUCAGGGAAAUCAUCCGAGAGCUGGAGAUCGCCGAGCGCCUAACUCGGCAUUCUUAUCGAGUAUUCCGCGGCCGCGAAUGCGCGAUCCGAUCGAGAGCUGACGGUAGACCGCAUAAUAAGACCACGUAUUCUUCCCGUCGAGGCGUAACCUUGGUCGUGCGGAGAAUGGUCGAAUCAGCUGUUUCAGGUGGAAGGCCUCCCGUGGUACACAAUGGGCUAUCACGUGACUGGCAAGCGUUUAUUAGUCGACGCGAGACGAGAAAAUGGGUGGCGAAAGAACGGUUGGUGUUUGACGCUAGUUUCACACAACAAAGUUUCACACGCAGGAACUCAAAAUAUUUGUUUCGGUGGAAGAUAAUUACACGACAAAUGAAAAUAAAACAUAAGAAGAAACACUGGUGUAGCAUCUAAUGAAUUUUUGUUGGCGUUUGACACUAUUUUUUGAAGAUUCCAAAACCAUAAAAAUUCCAUGAAACUGAAAUUGAUGGUACAAACAGUUUGUCUACUACAGAAUUAAGUACAAUGGUCAUACAAAAGAUGAAUUAAUAAAAUAUGAAGAGUAAAAAAUUAUUUACAAGGAACGAGUUUCAACAAUGCGAGAACGUUAAUGCCAAAGGUGAUUAUGAUUGAAACGUUUACCAGCAUUUUGCGACUUGAUCAAGAAGUAAUAAUUUAUGCUAGACAUAUUUUCUUCUUUCCAUUUGAUCAGCCUUUCAAAUUUCUUAAAUCCU